CGAGUGAAGCUGUAGUCUUUUGUUUUAUGUGUUUUAUUUUAACGUGAAGGGUAAAACUUCACUUCGGUUAGGGUGGAUUCUAGUUUUAACAUCGAAGUGACGUAUAUCUGUUGUCAAGGAGAUACAUUAAAAGUAACGAAGUAGUGAUCUGUGCGUGUUGUAGGCGGGCAAGUUUUUAAGUUUUGUAUUAUUUGUACGUUUACCUUUAUUUUCGUGAUAACUCCAGUCAAGAGACAACUAAUCGCGGUGAAGAUGCCGUCUGGCGUAGGCGCAUCGUACAGGUCUCUCGCAGACGAUGUGUACAAGAGCACGACGAUCGAGGAGAACAAGUUUAGCAUGUUAGAGUCGGUGAAGAAAGUGUUUAGCUUCGCGAACCCCGGCACACCCACGACGACCACGUCGAGGUCCGAGCCCCUGGUCCCCGCCACGCACCGGCCCCGGUCCCAGCCCCAGCCUCAGGUGGUCUCCAGGGACAAAAAGAUGCCCGCCUCCACUUCAGCAGAAGAGACUGCGCUGUUGGGCACGAUGCCCUCCGACAGCAUGGACGACAUCGAGCUGAAGAACAUCCAGCUGCAGUUCCCGCAGGCGCGCACGCUCGCCCGCGGCGACAGCAGCGCCCUGGAGGAGCGCGUGGAGACGGCGCGCGGCAGCGUGCUGGUGGCUGUGCAGGGCAACCGCAACCGCCCCGCCAUCCUCACCUACCACGACCUGGGCCUCAACUAUGUGUCCAGCUUCCAGGCGUUCUUCAACUACAUCGACAUGCGCGCGCUGCUGGACAACUUCUGCGUGUACCACGUGAACGCCCCGGGCCAGGAGGAAGGCGCCACCACGCUGCCUGAAGACUUUGUGUAUCCCACAAUGGACGAACUCGCUGAACAGAUCAACUUUGUCAUGUCACAUUACGCACUCAGGAGCAUCAUUGGAUUUGGAGUAGGAGUUGGUGCGAAUGUUCUCGCCAGAUUCUCUCUGGCCCACCCAGACAAGGUUGAAGCACUUUGCCUGGUUAAUUGUGUGUCUACCCAAGCUGGCUGGAUUGAGUGGGGCUACCAGAAGCUGAAUUCAAGACACCUUAGGUCAAAGGGCAUGACACAGGGAGUGUUAGACUACCUAAUGUGGCAUCAUUUUGGAAGGGGAACAGAGGAGAGGAACCACGACUUGGUACAGGUGUACAAGAACUACUUUGAGCGGCACGUGAACCCCACCAACCUGGCGCUGUUCAUCGACAGUUACGUGCGCAGGACGGACCUGAACAUCUCGCGGGACGUGGACCCGACCCGCUCCAACAGCCACACCCUCAACAUGCCCGUCAUGAAUGUCACGGGGGCGCUGAGCCCGCACGUCGACGACACUGUCACCCUGAACGGCCGGCUGGACCCCACCAACUCCACCUGGAUGAAGAUCCAGGACUGUGGAAUGGUUUUGGAAGAGCAGCCAGGCAAAGUUAGUGAGGCUUUCAGGUUGUUCCUACAGGGCCAGGGCUACGCUGUGAAAGUUAACCGGAAAGUUAACCGCAAGCAAUUGGCACCUGCAUCAGCUGAAGGUAAUUUUUAUUAGAAAACAGAACUGAACUGUGUGUGACCCUUACCCGGCAAGAUUGAGUUGCUAAAUGUUUCUGAGCGACCACCACUUGGCUUCAAAGAUUAUCUGUCUGUCUAGCGACAAGACACCAAGUUAGAAACACCAACAUGUUUUUUUUUUUUUUCAUGUGGCAUAUGCAAAAUUUUAAUAAGGAAAUAUUGUUUUCAAAACAAAACUGAACUGUCAUAAAUUUUUUAUACUGAUUUGCAUGAAGAUAUUUUAUCUUCAUAAUGCCCACUAAUUAUUUAUUUUUUAAUCAGUAUACAGAUUAUUCAACAAAUGAUGGACAUAAUUUUAAUGAGGGGUAGGAAAUGCCAAACCAAACUAUCUUUGUUGAGAAACAUAUAGUCGCUUAAGAAACACCGCCUAUGUGACAAAAAGCAUAUUUUUCAGGAGAGCUUAUUAACUUCAUGCACCAUGCUGGAACUGAAUGGUUGCUAGCAUUAGAAAAUAGACAGACCAUAGCAACGCAUUCUGUUGGAUUUUCGGCAAAUUCGCUUUGUGAGAAGAUGCAAAAUGCUUAUGUUUCCAUGGAGAAACAAAAAAUUGAAUUUUAAAAAAAGUAACUUAGGCGAUGUUGUUUAUUAAGCAACAAUAUGUUCUGAAAUACAAUCCUGCAGAGUUAUAAAUGUAAAUAGUAGUACGCAAAUUUCAAUUUUGCGCUUGUUUGGCGACUUUAUACUAGCUGAGAAGACAUGUCAUCACAGCAAUGUGAUGGCGCAGGUUUUGAAGUUUAGCUACAUGCACUAGCAUUCAGUAGUCUGGUGUGCAGCACAGUGGAUAUUUAGUCUAUAUAUAUGUAUUUUGGUGAUUAGCGCAGGUUGACAGUUUAGUGAGUGUGGUACUGUGAUCACAGUAUUUACAAACAAUAACAGAAUGGCAGACUUUAAAUUUACAGAGAUGUCCGCUAGGCACAUGUUGAAAAGAGAGGUGAGAGGAAUUGCAGAAAGAGCAGCGCUCAUUUAUCGAGGACGCAUUCCCAACUGGCGUGUACCAAAUAGGAAGCCCUUCUAUGACCUAACCAGCAACUGCCUGAAACUGCAUAUGGCUAGCUCUAAACAUCUGUACCCUGGUGGUCGCCUGAAGUAAUGCGCUGCCAUUGGCGUCUUCUCAGCCAGUGAAGUGGUGUCUGAUGCCACCAUACGGUUUGCAUCUGUAACUUUGCAGUGUUGCAUGUCCCUUAACUUAAAAUUAGUUUGUUUUGGCAAUACCUGCCACCCUUUAAACUGUAAUGCUCAGUAAUUUCCGAACACACCAUAUUAUGGAAUUAUUCAAUUAUGCACAGAAGUGUUUAAAUUGUAAAAUAUAAUCUAAAUUGUAAAAUAUAAUCGUAGAGCAUACCCUGGGUUUAGUUAGGCAAACCCUUUAAAUAAGGAGUCCACAGUUCAUGCAUUUAUCUUUUUUUCAUGUCAUCUCAAAUUUGACCAAAAGUAUAACCAAUGGCAACCAGUUAUGUGCAGAGCAUCACAUGAUGCUUGUUUACAAACACUGGCAUCCACAUUAAGAAGUUUGCAAAAGUUGUUGACAUGAAAAUAGUGACAGAAGUACAAUUACGUCUGUAUCACACGAUGGAAGGUUUCAUACAGGAUCUGCUAGAAGUACAUAAAAUUGUGACUGUUGUUGGCGAAUGGUUUUGUUAUGAUAGUUAAUAUUAUUUUUGCAUUGUUUCUCACAAUUGUCACAUAAUACUGUAACUGCUUCAGGAGACCACAUGUUCACCAUGUUUCAAAUCAAAAAUCAAAAAAAUUGUAAUCCCUCUAAAAUAAAUUACCGUUUUUAACACCAGGGGUGCACUACUACUUCAUUCUUAUUGGAUCAAAUUAACCACCUUCUACGAAACCUUCCACAGAAAUUCAAACACGACCAAUUACAAAAAUGUUUCAUGAAAACGGCCAGUGCUCUGCCAAUUCUUCCACAGAACCAUCCUUACCUACCUCCAAGGAAACUUCCUUCGUGUGAGCUUAACCAUUGGGUUUACUUAUAACUGUCAAGUUUAAGACAAGUUACUUACAUGGCACACCCUAUACAUAUCAGUUGCCAGUUGCAUAAAAUUAAAGGUUGUGGGGCACUAAUUUUGGAUGCUUGGGUGACAUCAUUAAGGGGAUGUGCCCUUCCUUCCCUUGCCCUUUACCUUUCCUGAGAGACAGGCACCUAGUUUGACAUGCUCUGAGACGGUAGAUGCUGGUUUAGUCCGUAGAUGCUCUCAUAGAGAAUGUGUGUUGUGGUUGC